AAUGCCACACUGAAAAUUUGAUUGUGAUUCAAAUCUAACUAAUUUUAAGAUAAAGAUAAAACCAACUUACAGAUAGACGCUAAAAUCCAAAUAUAUAAUUUAAUUGAUCCGGAAGCGUGCGUAGCACUGCCCUAACAUGUAUUCCUGUCCUUUGUGCAAGAUUAACCAAAAACACCACCCCAAGAUACGAUCGGAAUUCCUCCUCCUACGAACACGAACGCGAAAGAGGUUGACGGAGACUCUUUCAACACCCGAUGAUAAAGAGAUCAAACAAAAUAAAAAUAAAAU
rnacentral:lncRNA from 1 species